GACGUCGCUGCCGUGAUCGU
rnacentral:snRNA from 1 species